ensembl:lincRNA
CAGGCCAGAGGGGACUGACUGUCCAACCAAAGGGUGAAAGAGAGCGGGGAGACUCCAGCCCACGUCUGAGCUUGGGUUUCCUUUCCUGCAAGCUCAGGGAUAUCCUGACCCCAAAGAAGUCUGCAGUGUCUCACCAGCCUUCAGUAGUGCUACGCUUGCGUCUUCAUGAGGAGGGGAUACAGCGAAAGGGUGGGUAAGACAGUCAGGAUAAUAACAGUUGGGCGAAACUUCCAACAGGGACAGUAUGGAGUCAUGGUCAGAUCUGAAUUCAGUGCCCUGCAUUCAAAUCCUGCUCUCGCGCGUACUAGCAGAUGGCCAGGCUAAACCACUUCUCAUGGCUGAGCCACGGACCAAUGAGCUAAUUAGCACAAAGUGCUUAGAGUAUACAGCACAUAUUAAGCACUUCAUAAAUGGUUAUGAUCAUUUUCUCCUUUUGGAAAUUGUCCAGACACAAGGGGCCUAGCCUUCCAUUGACAGAGACCUUGAGGACUGGGGUGGGGGCAGAGCUUGACGAAGUGGGUAGUUGUGCAGGGCAAGGCAUUAGGGUCCCACCCGACCCCACAAGACCAUUCACUCAUCCAUAAUGCAAAGCGACAACCACAGGCUCAGUGUGCCACUAGCAAAUAGGAGAGAGCGCGAGCUGCCUCCAUUGAAAAUGCAUUGACUGAAUGAUUUAUAUUCCCCCAUCCUCCAAGUCUGAGCACAGGGGCAACUCCUGGAGCAUAUUAAGCGGCUGCUGUCUGUGAAGGAGCCAUAGCAGGAGGAGUGUGGAGCAGGUGCAGAGGGGAUCUGAGAGGAGGAAGGAGUGAACUUGGUCAGGAAGGAGGUAGGGAGACAUGGCAAGUGAGGAGGAAAGAGGAAGAUGCGAGGGGGAAGAGAGAGCAGGAAGUAGGAGGCACAGAGGUACAGCAAGGGAAAGGAGAUGGACGAGCGAAAAGGGAAGGAAAAGGAAAGGCAGAGGGCAAGGAGGGAAGAAUGGAGUCCAGGGCCAGAGACGCUGAAUUACAGCCUGGUUCAAGAUGGCGGUCAACACCCUUCUGCCCAGGAAUCAAGAAGUAUUUUUAAAUUCUCUCUCCGAGUGCAUACUGGGCAAGCCAAGAUGCAGACAGUUGACCAUGGUAACAAAUCAGUGCCUGGACUGGAUGGAUGUAGGUUGAAGAGGACUCACAACACCAAGAGAUGCAUUACUACAAGCCAUAAGCAGUGACAAACUGUGACCCCUCACAACAUCCCCCUAUGGGCGUGCCACGCUCUCUUGGUUUAAAGUCACUCCACAGUAAAUCAACUUACAAGCUCAGCGGGCUCCACAGCCAAAGCAGGAGGUAAGGACGACAUUCUGUUUCUAACAAAGCCAUUUUCAAUAAUGUAUAAUUAAUUAUAAUGUAGUUUUUACAAAAGGCCUUUUCCUCCCAUGCUAGUGGAAAGUUCUUCCUGACACCUCACGGAUCUCCAUCCUUCCCUCUGCAGUGGAUGAAUAAUUUUCCUGGCUUCUCUUUUCCCUGGGAAUGUAAGGUAUUGUGUUGCCAGUUUUAGAAAAGCGAAGGUAAUUAAAAGCACUUGAAGCCCUCUGCUGGGGCCCCUCCGCCCGCUCCUUGAUGCACCCCAGGGCAGACUGGGGAGAGAGUGGG